rnacentral:rRNA from 1 species
AGAGUUUGAUCAUGGCUCAGAACGAACGCUGGCGGCAGGCCUCAAACAUGCAAGUCUAGGGGGCGUAGCAAUACGUCACCGGCGGACGGGUGCGUAACACGUGGGAAUAUACCUUUUGGUUCGGAACAACGCAGGGAAACUUGCGCUAAUACCGAAUGUGUCCUUACGGAGAAAGAUUUAUCGCCAAAGGAUUAGCCCGCGUUCGAUUAGCUAGUUGGUGAGGUAAUGGCUCACCAAGGCAACGAUCGAUAGCUGUUCUGAGAGGAAGAUCAGCCACACUGGGACUGAGACACGGCCCAGACUCCUACGGGAGGCAGCAGUUGGGAAUCUUGGACAAUGGGGGAAACCCUGAUCCAGCCAUGCCGCGUGAGUGAUGAAGGCCUUCGGGUUGUAAAGCUCUUUUACCCGGGAAGAUAAUGACUGUACCGGGAGAAUAAGCUCCGGCUAACUUCGUGCCAGCAGCCGCGGUAAUACGAAGGGGGCUAGCGUUGUUCGGAAUUACUGGGCGUAAAGCGCGCGCAGGCGGUUUCUCAAGUCAGUGGUGAAAGCCCGGAGCUCAACUCCGGAACUGCCAUUGAAACUGUGAAACUUGAGGACGAGAGAGGUGAGUGGAAUUCCCAGUGUAGAGGUGAAAUUCGUAGAUAUUGGGAAGAACACCGGUGGCGAAGGCGGCUCACUGGCUCGUUUCUGACGCUCAGGCGCGACAGCGUGGGGAUCAAACAGGAUUAGAUACCCUAGUAGUCC